CGAGGACUCGUAUAGAGGAGCAGUGGUGCGCCUGCGCCCUCACAAUCGCUGGCGAUUUUCUGCGACAUAGACACGAGUGUUUCUGUCUCCUGAGUUUCUUUUGUUUGUACAGUAAAAUGGCGGCCGCAAAGCGAGCUUUUAUUGAGGUGGAGGGGUACGUGCACGAAGUGUCGUCGGUGCUGCAGUCCGGGUCGGGAAAUGCGCGGUAUUUUUACCGCAGUACUCCAAGAAGCUGAUAAGAAUAGUCGGGUUGUUGUGUUUGAUGUGCAGAAGCACAACAGUUUUCCAGUGUGCGGAAAGAGAUCGGACUGCUUUGAAGCUCAGCGAUGUGGGGUUGUCUCCUUCUAAACAGACCAAAAACACCAAUGACAUACUAGUGAACAGUAGAUCAAAGGUGUCAGUUGUGCGACGCUUAGUUUAUGUGUUCGAGGAGAAAGUCAGCACACACAGCACAGUGAGGACCCUGAGGGAUAUCAUCAAAGAUUUGAGAGAGUACCAGAGGGUAAGUGUAAAUAUUCUUUAU